GAUCCUGGCUCAGGACGAACGCUGGCGGCGUGCUUAACACAUGCAAGUCAAUGGGAAAGCCAUCUUCGGAUGGUGAGUAUACUGGCGAACGGGUGAGUAACGCGUAGGUAACCUGCCCUUCAGCCUGGGAUAACACUGCUAACGCGGUGCUAAUACCGGAUGGGGCUUUUCCAUCGCCUGAUGGAGGAGUUAAAGCGGGCUUUGGCUCGUACUGAAGGAUGGACCUGCGUCUCAUUAGCUAGUUGGCGGGGUAACGGCCCACCAAGGCCACGAUGGGUAGCCGACCUGAGAGGGUGAUCGGCCACACUGGGACUGAGAUACGGCCCAGACUCCUACGGGAGUGCAGCAGUGAGGAAUAUUGCGCAAUGGGCGAAAGCCUGACGCAGCAACGCCGUGUGCGGGAUGAAGCUUUUCGGAGUGUAAACCGCUGUUAACAGGGACGAAUACUCUUAAUUCGAAUAGGGUUAAGGGAUGACGGUACCUGUAGAGGAAGCCCCGGCUAACUCCGUGCCAGCAGCCGCGGUAACACGGGGGGGGCAAGCGUUGUCCGGAAUUAUUGGGCGUAAAGGGCGCGUAGGCGGGCUGAUCAGUCAGAGGUGAAAGUUUGCGGCUUAACCGUAAAUGUGCCUUUGAUACUGUCAGUCUUGAGUACGGAAGAGGGAAGUGGAAUUCCUGGUGUAGCGGUGAAAUGCGUAGAUAUCAGGAAGAACACCGGUGGCGAAGGCGGCUUCCUGGUCCGUAACUGACGCUGAGGCGCGAAAGCGUGGGUAGCGAACAGGAUUAGAUACCCUGGUAGUCCACGCAGUAAACGAUGGGUACUAGGUGUUGGGCUGUCAUGGCUCAGCGCCGGAGCAAACGCAUUAAGUACCCCGCCUGGGGAGUACGACCGCAAGGUUGAAACUCAAAGGAAUUGACGGGGGCCCGCACAAGCGGUGGAGCAUGUGGUUUAAUUCGAUGCAACGCGAAGAACCUUACCUGGGCUUGAACUGCAGUCGGCAGACUCUGAAAGGAGUUUUUCCUUCGGGACGGCUGUAGAGGUGCUGCAUGGCUGUCGUCAGCUCGUGUCGUGAGAUGUUGGGUUAAGUCCCGCAACGAGCGCAACCCCUGCCACUUAGUUGCCAGCAUUUCGGAUGGGAACUCUAAGGGGACUGCCCCGGCUAACGGGGAGGAAGGUGGGGAUGACGUCAAGUCCUCAUGGCCCUUACGUCCAGGGCUACACACGUGCUACAAUGGCCGGUACAACGGGCAGCGAGACAGCGAUGUUGAGCGAAUCCCUUAAAACCGGUCUCAGUUCAGAUUGGAGUCUGCAACUCGACUUCAUGAAGUUGGAAUCGCUAGUAAUCGCGGAUCAGCAUGCCGCGGUGAUACGUUCCCGGGCAUUGUACACACCGCCCGUCACGCCAUGGAGUCGUAGCGCCCGAGGCCGGUGGCCCAAUUCUUCGGAAAGGGAGCCGUCGAAGGUGAGAC
rnacentral:rRNA from 1 species